CGGAUUGAAGGCUGAAAUUCGCCUUCAUGAAGCUGGAAUUGCUAGUAAUGGCAGGUCAGCAUACUGCGGUGAAUACGUUCCCGGGUCUUGUACACACCGCCCGUCACACCAUGGGAGUUGGGAAUGCCCGAAGUCAGUGACCCAACCGCAAGGAGGGAGCUGCCGAAGGCAGGCUUGAUAACUGGGGUGAAGUCGUAACAAGGUAAC
rnacentral:rRNA from 1 species